rnacentral:lncRNA from 10 species
UUUUCAACUGCGAUGAAAGGAAAGAACAGACAACCAUAAUCAGGAGACAUUUUGGGCAAUGAAGGAUUAUGACAUGAGGCCAUUUCCUCAGGGAAAGUUGGUUGUGGUUUGGGAAGUUUGGGCUUUGGAGCUGAUGAUGGAUUUGGAACAACUAAUGCCUGGUGGCAGCCCCUCAAUUAGGGAACAACACAGGAAUCUGUGGGAAGGGCUGGGUUCCCAAGAAGGCAUUUCAACACUUGUCUAAUAACCUCGUCUCUGGUUUUUUGAGCAGCCCUAAACAACUUGUUCCUGAAAUCUAAGUAAUGGAUUUCUGGGUGUCACCUCUUUGGGUUAGGGAAGUUAAACUGAUUUCAGUUGCAUUGUUAAAAUCUUAGGUGUGUCUGAAUAACAGCUGUGCUGGUGCCUACUGGAGGACAGAAACAUGGCAAAGAGUAAGGGGAAGUGAUGAUAUAGAAUGUGUAAGGUGGGAAUUCAGGAAACAAUGACAGCAAAAGUGAUUUGAGAAACAAAGCCAAAGGAAAAGGUGAGUAAAAAGAAAAGAAGGAAGUCCCAUCUUCUACAGGGCAAAUACCCUGGUUAUUUAGCACGGUGCAUAAGGCCCUCUUGGUCUGCAUUUGCUGCCUGCUGCCUCUAGUGUUGCUGCAUCAUCCCCUUAGUACAAGACAAUCUGUAGUUCCCCAAAUGGACGAUGGGAGGCAGGGUUUAAUCUGGCCCCAGUGAUCUCCACUUCCCAGUAGCCACAUCACUGUAGAAUCCCCUCUCCUGAGUGUGGGCUGGCCCAGCAACUUGCUUCUAACUGUCGGAGAAUGACAAGUGAUGGGAUGUCACUUCCCGUAAUUAACUGACGGGAGACUGUAGCUUCUGUCUUGCUAGUGGAUGCUGUCUGUUGCCUUCCUGGUUUGUGUGCUUUGAUGAAGCAAGUGGCUGUGUUGCAGAGGUCCACUUGGCAAGGGGAUGAAAGUGGCCUUUGGCCAACAGCCAGCAAGGAGCUAAGGCCCUUUAUCCAACAACCCUUGAAGAACUGAAAUCUUCUAACAACCACAUGAGCUUGGAAAUGGAUCCCCGCCUUGACCCUUCAGAUGCGACCCCAGCCCUGGCCAGCGCCUCGAUUGCCACCUUGUGAGAGAUCCUGAAGGAUGGAUCCAGCUAAGCCAUGACCAGCCUGAGUGUUCAGCAGCACGGGGGGCCCACUGCUUGGUCUACACCCAAAAGAAAGGGAAUCCCUGUUUGGAGGGAUGUCUGCACCCCGGGCUCAUGGCAGCACUGUUCACCACAGUCAAGGCGUGGAAGCAAUCUAAGUUCCAUCAACAGAUGAAUGGAUAAAGAAGAAUAUAUAAUACACAAUGGAGUACUCUUCAGCCAUAAAAGAAGAAAGACAUUCUGUCAUUUGUGACAAUGUGAGUGAACCUGGGAGAUAUCAUAUUAAGUGAAAUAAGCUAGGCACAGAAAGACAAAUACCAUGUGAUCUCACUUAUAUGCAGAAACUAAAAAAAUUGAAUUCAUAGAAGCAGAGGGUAAAAUGGGUAAAAUGAUGGCUACUAGGGACUGGGGGAGGGAGACGUUGGUCAAAGGGCAUACAAUUUCAGUUAGACAGGAGGAGUGAUCAAGAGGUCUAUUGUGCAACAUGAUGAUUAUAGUUAAUGAAUUAUAUACUCGAAAAUUGCCAAGAGAGUAGAUUUUAAGUGCUCUUACCACAAAAACGUAAGUAUUUGAGGGAGUGGAUAUGUUAAUUAGCUUAGCAUAGCCAUUAUACAACAUAUAUGUAUUUCAAAACACGUUGAAUGCAAUAAAUUAUACAAUUUUUGUUUGUCAAUUAAAAAAUAAAUAAAUUUAAAAAGUGAAAAUGAAACCCAAGUGCUCUUGUAUUGAGAGCAUUGGGUGGAGGUAGCACUGGAAAAGAGAAAAUAAAGUGCAGACUGGCCCUGAGGGGCCCUUUCUGGGGGAGCAUAGCCCCAAUCCAUUUUUUUUUGUCCUGGGACGGCAGAACUCCCUGGCAGGAACGCCUUGCUUUCCUGUGCAUUCCACAAGCUCUGACAAUCAUCUGAUAAGCACCAAGCCUUUCACUGAAACGGGGAUACUAGGACAGGGCACUAUGAGCUUCCUGACCCUCAGGAGCUCACUGUCUGCUCGGUGGGAGAGUGGGAGGGUGAGGAGGGCCGAUGCCCGCAGAGAGCAGGGUCAGAUAGACAAUUCUGGGCUGGCUCCCUCUGUUCUUUAGAGGGGGCCGUGCCAAGCCUGCCAACUUGGGCUGCAGGGCGUUGUCAGGGAAAACUUCCUGGAGAAGUUGGCCCCGGGGUCAGGCCUGAGGAACAAAGACGAGCUAGAGAGGGAGUGGAGAGGACUGGGGAGUGGAAGCAGUAACGGAGGCCCGCGGGGUCCCCAAGGGCUGGGCGCAGGCAGUCAGCAGGA